rnacentral:rRNA from 1 species
GGGUUGUGAGGUUAAGCGACUAAGCGUACACGGUGGAUGCCCUGGCAGUCAGAGGCGAUGAAGGACGUGCUAAUCUGCGAUAAGCGUCGGUAAGGUGAUAUGAACCGUUAUAACCGGCGAUUUCCGAAUGGGGAAACCCAGUGUGAUUCGUCACACUAUCAUUAACUGAAUCCAUAGGUUAAUGAGGCGAACCGGGGGAACUGAAACAUCUAAGUACCCCGAGGAAAAGAAAUCAACCGAGAUUCCCCCAGUAGCGGCGAGCGAACGGGGAGCAGCCCAGAGCCUGAAUCAGUGUGUGUGUUAGUGGAAGCGUCUGGAAAGGCGCGCGAUACAGGGUGACAGCCCCGUACACAAAAAUGCACAUGCUGUGAGCUCGAUGAGUAGGGCGGGACACGUGGUAUCCUGUCUGAAUAUGGGGGGACCAUCCUCCAAGGCUAAAUACUCCUGACUGACCGAUAGUGAACCAGUACCGUGAGGGAAAGGCGAAAAGAACCCCGGCGAGGGGAGUGAAAAAGAACCUGAAACCGUGUACGUACAAGCAGUGGGAGCACGCUUCGGCGUGUGACUGCGUACCUUUUGUAUAAUGGGUCAGCGACUUAUAUUCUGUAGCAAGGUUAACCGAAUAGGGGAGCCGAAGGGAAACCGAGUCUUAACUGGGCGUUAAGUUGCAGGGUAUAGACCCGAAACCCGGUGAUCUAGCCAUGGGCAGGUUGAAGGUUGGGUAACACUAACUGGAGGACCGAACCGACUAAUGUUGAAAAAUUAGCGGAUGACUUGUGGCUGGGGGUGAAAGGCCAAUCAAACCGGGAGAUAGCUGGUUCUCCCCGAAAGCUAUUUAGGUAGCGCCUCGUGAAUUCAUCUCCGGGGGUAGAGCACUGUUUCGGCAAGGGGGUCAUCCCGACUUACCAACCCGAUGCAAACUGCGAAUACCGGAGAAUGUUAUCACGGGAGACACACGGCGGGUGCUAACGUCCGUCGUGAAGAGGGAAACAACCCAGACCGCCAGCUAAGGUCCCAAAGUCAUGGUUAAGUGGGAAACGAUGUGGGAAGGCCCAGACAGCCAGGAUGUUGGCUUAGAAGCAGCCAUCAUUUAAAGAAAGCGUAAUAGCUCACUGGUCGAGUCGGCCUGCGCGGAAGAUGUAACGGGGCUAAACCAUGCAC